AUGGGGGGGCGGGGACGGGACCUGCUCCUGACCCGUUGAGGGACGGCCCAGGAGGGACCAGCCCUUGGCGGCAGUACCUCCCCAGGCACCGCUCGCCAGCCCGGCCCCGCCACCGCGCUGUGGGACACAACCCGUCCCCGUGUGCCCGGACCCACCUGCGGCUGAGCCGGGCCGUGUGUCUCCAUGGCCAGGAGAGGCCGCCACUGGUCCAGGUGUGAUGAUGGGUGGGGAAAAGCAACCCCAUGAAAAUCAGACGAGAGGCCAGCUCCAUGCCCAGGAGCUGUGUUCUCAUGUCCUGACAUCUGCAACAUGUGAUGGGCUUGUAGAAGCUGCUUGGACAGGCAGGAAAUGAGGAACUGCCUUGAAGGCUGGAGAUCUUCAGAGACCACAGGAAUACCUCAAGACAGGAAGGCUGAUGAUUGCUACUCUCCGGGAGUGGUGCAGCUCAGCCCUUGGCCGGGAGAUGGAGAUGCAGCAUCACCUCCAGGCAGUGGGGGACACCAGCCGGUCCUUGCAACACCCCCUGCCCCGGGGCUCUGGCCUGGGCCGAGCAGGAGCGGGAAGAGCACCUGCGGUAUUCCGUAAGUCUCCGUCUCAGCAUCAUUUUCAACACUGGAUUAGUUCCCUGCAUGCUCCUCUGUACAGCCAUGCACUGCUUUGGCAUCACAGUGGUCUUUGCCUUUCCUCAGCUGUUUGCACAGGUGACUCUGGGUCUCCAGCUUCAGCUCCUCUGCUUUAGCUCUUUCCAACACACAAGAUACCAAUUUGCAGCAGAAGAUUUCUUGCUUCUUUCAGCAGUUUCUCAAACUAAUUUUUAUGGCUGUUCUGUCACUUGGGCUGUCACAAAGCGAUUAUUUUCUUUCCGUAUGCCAACACAAACUGCUGUGUUUUGUUUUUGCUCAUGGCUAAAUGCAUGUACCACAUAACACUUACCACGAGACCUUUCAAGUGACAUUUUCUUUGAUAAGCUAACAACCUGCCUUUAUUGCAGCAAGCUCUUUUAGCUUGCUCCCAACACACUUGAAAUAAUUUCCAUUCCUUGAUUUUCAUCUUUAUUUUGAUCCAAACCACUGCGAAGUAUUCAAAUAAUUUGGGCACCCAUGUCUGUUAUAAUUUCUUUUUCAUUCUUCCAGCAGCAGACCUUGUCUCUUUUCUCCUGGAUUCACUUUUUAUUUACACACCUGAGGACUUGCUCCUCCCUGCUUUGGUGUGCCCAGCAAAGCUGUACAUAACUCAUCUCCUGGCAAUGUCACUGAAUUGCCACGUGUGUUGCCUGGGGUUCCCUUGCUGAUGCACUGUGCUUCCCACUCCUUAUGCACUCAAUUCCUGCUUAAUUAUAUUUUUUUUCUUUAGGUGACUCCUAAUCAAGCUAAAUCUGGAAAUCCCUCUUGAAAGCUCUUUACUCUUGCUUGGGCCAUGGAUACCUCAAAAGUUAGACAGAAGUUUUUUAGAGAAAGUAUGCUGAAACUACCUGCAUAGUUGAGAUAACAACCCGUGAACGUGUGACGGGGGCCCUGCAGAUGACACAAUUAUCAACACUCACCGGCUGCAAAGGGCCGGGACCACCAUCCAAAUUAAAAGAUGAUAAGAAGAGGAUUAAAAACACAAGCCAUGAAACACGCAUGCUCUAAAAAGGUGGACUCAAGGUGUGGCCAUGUUAAACAGUUCCCAGAACUUUUUAUUAAACAUGAGGGACUAUGAAUAUGCAACAGGUUGAUAUAUAUUUAAAGAGGCGUUCCCGAAGCAACCCUGUGCUCUUGGCAACUUGCCAAGCACCCGUAUGUUUUCACCCUUUGCUUUAUGUGCGUCUCCUAUUGUCUUUUUAUUAAACCUUUUUAAAUUUUACCAGGACAGUGAAACGUGUUUUUCACACUUCUCCCGUCCCCCCCCGACACAGCUCCAUGUUGUUCCUAUUGUAUGAAUGAAUAAAACUUGUGGAAGUAGAGGGACAGUUAAACUA